GAUGAACGCUGGCGGCGUGCCUAAUACAUGCAAGUAGAACGCUGAAACUUGGUGCUUGCCCCGAGCGGGUGAGUUGCGAACGGGUGAGUAACGGGUAGGGAACCGGCCUGGUAGCGGGGGACAACCAUUGGAAAAGAAAGUUAAUACCGCAUAAGAGAAGACGUAGCAUGACAUUUGCUUAAAAGGCGGAGUUGCACAACUAGCAGGUGGACCUGCGUUGGAUUAGCUAGUUGGUGGGGUAACGGGUCACCAAGGCGACGAUACAUAGACGACCUGAGAGGGUGGUCGGCUACACUGGGACUGAGACACGGCCCAGACUCCUGCAGGAGGCACCAGUAGGGAAUCCUCGGCAAUGGACGGGAGUCUGACCGAGCAACGCCGCGUGAGUCAUGAAGGUGUUCGGAUCCUAAAGUUCUGUUGUAUGACAGUAACGAGUGCGAGAGUAGAAGGGUCGCACUGUAACGUACUUGUACCAGAAAGCCCCGGCAAAUUCCUG
rnacentral:rRNA from 1 species